AUACGUAGGGGGCGAGCGUUGUCCGGAAUGAUUGGGCGUAAAGGGCGCGUAGGCGGCGCGGUAAGUCUGGAAUGAAAGUCCUGCUUUCAAGGUGGGAAUUGCUUUGGAUACUGCCGCGCUUGAGUGCAGGAGAGGGUAUCGGAAUUCCCGGUGUAGCGGUGAAAUGCGUAGAGAUCGGGAGGAACACCAGUGGCGAAGGCGGGUAACUGGACUGCAACUGACGCUGAGGCGCGAAAGUGUGGGGAGCAAACAGGAUUAGAUACCCUGGUAGUCCACACUGUAAACGAUGAAUGCUAGGUGUAAGAGGUAUCGACCCCUUUUGUGCCGGAGUCAACACAAUAAGCAUUCCGCCUGGGGAGUACGGCCGCAAGGUUGAAACUCAAAUGAAUUGACGGGG
rnacentral:rRNA from 1 species